rnacentral:rRNA from 1 species
AACGAACGCUGGCGGCAUGCCUAACACAUGCAAGUCGAACGAGAUCUUCGGGUCUAGUGGCGCACGGGUGCGUAACGCGUGGGAAUCUGCCCUUUGGUUCGGAAUAACAGUUGGAAACGACUGCUAAUACCGGAUGAUGACGAAAGUCCAAAGAUUUAUCGCCAGAGGAUGAGCCCGCGUAGGAUUAGCUAGUUGGUGUGGUAAAGGCGCACCAAGGCGACGAUCCCUAGCUGGUCUGAGAGGAUGAUCAGCCACACUGGGACUGAGACACGGCCCAGACUCCUACGGGAGGCAGCAGUGGGGAAUAUUGGACAAUGGGCGAAAGCCUGAUCCAGCAAUGCCGCGUGAGUGAUGAAGGCCUUAGGGUUGUAAAGCUCUUUUACCCGGGAUGAUAAUGACAGUACCGGGAGAAUAAGCUCCGGCUAACUCCGUGCCAGCAGCCGCGGUAAUAC